rnacentral:rRNA from 1 species
AUCGAACGCUGGCGGCAGGCCUAACACAUGCAAGUCGAACGAGUGGCGGACGGGUGAGUAAUGUCUGGGAAACUGCCCGAUGGAGGGGGAUAACUCCUGGAAACGGUAGCUAAUACCGCAUACCAUCGGAUGUGCCCAGAUGGGAUUAGCUAGUAGGUGAGGUAACGGCUUACCUUGGCGACGCUCCCUAGCUGGUCUGAGAGGAUGACCAGCCACAUUGGAACUGAGACACGGUCCAGACUCCUACGGGAGGGAGCAGUAGGGAAUAUUCCGCAAUGACCGAAAGCCUGAUGCAGCCAGGCCGCGUGUAUGAAGAAGGCCUUCGGGUUGUAAAGUACUUUCGGCGAGGAGGCGUUACUCGCCGAGAAAGCACCGGCUAACUACGUGCCAGCAGCCGCGGUAAUAC